rnacentral:rRNA from 1 species
GACGAACGCUGGCGGCGUGCUUAACACAUGCAAGUCGAACGGAAAGGCCCUGCUUUUGUGGGGUGCUCGAGUGGCGAACGGGUGAGUAACACGUGAGUAACCUGCCCUUGACUUUGGGAUAACUUCAGGAAACUGGGGCUAAUACCGGAUAGGAGCUCCUGCUGCAUGGUGGGGGUUGGAAAGUUUCGGCGGUUGGGGAUGGACUCGCGGCUUAUCAGCUUGUUGGUGGGGUAGUGGCUUACCAAGGCUUUGACGGGUAGCCGGCCUGAGAGGGUGACCGGCCACAUUGGGACUGAGAUACGGCCCAGAGUCCUACGGGGGGCAGCAGUGGGGAAUAUUGCACAAUGGGCGGAAGCCUGAUGCAGCAACGCCGCGUGCGGGAUGACGGCCUUCGGGUUGUAAACCGCUUUCGCCUGUGACGAAGCGUGAGUGACGGUAAUGGGUAAAGAAGCACCGGCUAACUACGUG